CUCCACCGAUCGAAAGCACCAUCGAAAAGAAGGCCACAUCCAAUCGCCUCUUCAAUCAAGAUGCAGAUCUUUGUGAAGACCCUGACUGGCAAGACUAUCACCCUUGAGGUGGAGUCAUCAGACACUAUCGACAAUGUUAAGGCCAAGAUCCAGGAUAAGGAGGGCAUCCCACCGGACCAGCAACGCUUGAUCUUUGCUGGCAAGCAGCUAGAGGAUGGCCGCACCCUUGCUGACUACAACAUCCAGAAGGAGUCGACCCUCCACCUUGUCCUCCGCCUCCGUGGUGGCCUGUGAGCCUGCCUGCUUGCUACAUGAUGCGCUGUGUGCAUCGUCCAUCUUAGUUUUAUGUUGAAGUUGAGUAGUCAUGGAUGUUCAUUUAGUUUGUUUGUAGUGUCUUCAAUCAGUCGUCGAACAUUGAACCAGUCAUUUUGUUUAAGGGAAAAUUAUGCUAUAAUCUGUUUGCUUUGA